rnacentral:rRNA from 1 species
UGGGGAAUAUUGGACAAUGGGCGCAAGCCUGAUCCAGCAAUACCGCGUGUGUGAAGAAGGCCUGCGGGUUGUAAAGCACUUUCAGUAGGGAGGAAGGUGUCUAGUUUAAUACGCUAGGCAAUUGACGUUACCUACAGAAGAAGCACCGGCUAACUCUGUGCCAGCAGCCGCGGUAAUACAGAGGGUGCGAGCGUUAAUCGGAAUUACUGGGCGUAAAGCGUGCGUAGGCGGUUUGACAAGUCAGAUGUGAAAGCCCUGGGCUCAACCUGGGAACUGCAUUUGAAACUGUCAGGCUAGAGUGGGGAAGAGAGUAGCGGAAUUUCCGGUGUAGCGGUGAAAUGCGUAGAUAUCGGAAGGAACACCAGUUGCGAAGGCGGCUACUUGGUCCUUUACUGACGCUGAGGCACGAAAGCGUGGGGAGCAAACAGG